rnacentral:sRNA from 1 species
UUUUUAUAAAUAUAUGCUUUUGUUUUGUUUGAUUUAAAUGUAUUGUAUACCGUGAGACGAUAUUUAAUAACUAAAAU